UCAAGCAUUAAGUACACAUGAAAAUUAAAGACUUGAAAACAGUCAUUGUUCAACAUAAAUGUGAUAUUGUGCUUAACUUAGAAGUUAUAAAAUUACGCUAGAAUUAAAAAGUAACCUAUAAUGGCACUUCGUCAACGGACGAAUUAAAUUUCGCAUUUUCUUGUAAAAUACUUGUGUGACGACACGAAAAGAUCAGGAAUUAAAGGACCUAUUAGAACUAACGAUGAGGUAUGUAUACCAAAUAAUGAUGAUACUCUCUGGCCAAUAACUGCCAAAGAAUAACAUAUUCACAACAAUAUGGCACCUAUCACACAAAUGGAAUGGAACAUUUUUGCCAAGACGCUACAUAAACUCUGACACCGAGAAUGUGGCACAUUUCACACUUAUAAGACUGAACAAUUUUGCCAAGACGCAUCAUGAACUCUGACACCGACCGUACAUUACGACCAGUAGGACAAUAAUGGUAUCAUAAAUUACACCAUGUUAAAAACUCUUGUAUUAGCUAUAGCUGCAGCCGGUCAGAGUCUGGAUUUAAUAAAUAUAUUUCAUAAAGUCAUUUACAGGACAGUAAUUUUUGUCAAAUUAACUGUGUCAUGUGACAUUGUCGAAACAUAUGCAUAAUUUCUGCAUCAGAGCCUUGACUCUCGCAGUAUUAUUCUGAGAAAGAACAAAUUCAUAUUUCUAGAAGCAAAGUUUAUUUCUUUACAUACACAUUGCUAGAUCUAAACUUAGAACUAUUCUGGUACAUGAAAUUAAUAAGUUCUUUUACCAAAGUUAAAUUGAAUAUUUUGAUAUUAAAAGAUCGAAACAGUG
rnacentral:lncRNA from 1 species